CCAGACUCCUACGGGAGGCAGCAGUGGGGGAUAUUGCACAAUGGGGGAAACCCUGAUGCAGCGACGCCGCGUGGACGAAGAAGUAUUUCGGUAUGUAAAGUCCUAUCAGCAGGGAAGAAGAAAUGACGGUACCUGACUAAGAAGCCCCGGCUAACUACGUGCCAGCAGCCGCGGUAAUACGUAGGGGGCAAGCGUUAUCCGGAUUUACUGGGUGUAAAGGGAGCGCAGGCGGCAGCGCAAGUCUGAUGUGAAAGCCCGGGGCCCAACCGCGGGACUGCAUUGGAAACUGCGCAGCUGGAGUGCCGGAGGGGUAAGCGGAAUUCCUAGUGUAGCGGUGAAAUGCGUAGAUAUUAGGAGGAACACCAGUGGCGAAGGCGGCUUACUGGACGGCAACUGACGCUGAGGCUCGAAAGCGUGGGGAGCAAACAGGAUUAGAUACCCGAGUACGC
rnacentral:rRNA from 1 species